CCACCCGUGUUCUUAAAUUUUUCAUGUUCAGGUCUUGCUAUUGCUCCUAAUAUCUAAGGAGGUGUUAAUUUUUGCUUUCUCUUUAUAUAGUCAGAUCUACCUGUAAGAGAAAAGAUAUUUCUUCUUCUGGAUGCUGCACAGACUUCUCUUGGCGGAGCUUCUGGGAGAUUCCCUCAGUAUUAUUCUGCAUAUUAUGAGUUAGUGGUAGGUAGAUUCUCCCUAACCGUACAUAUAACAGUAUUCUAAUGAGAAACAUUAACCUGUCUGUACUCUACUGAAAAAGAAUAGGAAGAGUUGAAGAGACUAGGGGUGUGUUUGGUAUAACGGAAGUAAUCUUAUCUAACCGUACAUAUAACAGUAUUCUAUUGAGAAACAUUGACCUGUCUGUACUCUAUUGAAAAAGAAAAGAAAGAGUUGAAGAGGCUAUAUGUUGUGUGUAAAUCCUUUAAUUAUAUCUCCUUAAUUUUGAGGAUGGUCAUCAUCUGUUUCUUAACUAAUUGACUCUACGUUUGGUGCUUACACAAACUCAAAGUUAGCACAUAUAUUUUGAUGUAAUUUUUCACAAGGUUAUUGAAAACUGAGAAAUUUGACCAAGUUAUGCGUUAUGAAAAUUUUGAUAACUGGUAAAAGGUUCUUUUAUGAUUAGAAAAGUAAAGAAGAUAGGAAGGAAGAAAAAGGAGCAGUAGAUCUAGUGAAGAAAAAGAUGUCACACACAAAAUGUUAAGAACAAGGAAAAAAACAGCAGCGUUUUGGAGAUAAGAGUAGCUCCAUACAAGUAGUAAAAAUGAAUUGUAUCUUAAAUUUUCUCACUUCUGGCGUAAAGAACUUUUUGUAGAAGAUGCAGAAUCUAUUUUUCACUUUUGGAACCUUAUAAAGUAUACAGGGGCUGUAACUUGUAAAUACUGUUGCCAGCAUAAUCUUUGUGCUGAUGAAUGAAAUGUCACCAUUCUCAAAGAAAAUGCUAAAACCAUAUCAACAAAAUAUUUCAUUCUUGUUUUAUACUUUCAGAAUGUAUUUUCCCCAAAUAGCUCGCGUAGUUCCAUUGCUCAAUGGAUGAAGUUUGGACCCCAAGUCCUCAAUAACUCUUAACAUUACUGAUGCGGAAUUUAUUUAAAGACAACUCCUGAAGUUCAUGCUCCUAUAGCCAUGUAGAAUGGAGGAGAGAACUUACAUCUUGACUUAGGCUAGUUGUAGCCUGGUUUCUUGUGGCUUAUGCGGUGUCGAGUGAAACAAUGCUGUAAAAUAUCAAGCAACUAGGAUGAUAUUCCAGAAUUGAGGACAAAGAAUCAAAGAUCUCUUUUGUUUUACCAGUACCUUUGGUGUAAGCAGAAAAUAAGUGUGUUGUAUUAGAGAGUCAGGAUAGAUUUUUGGGGUUUCUAAUGAUAUUCAUUUUAGAAUCAUAUUGUAUUAGUCACACCAACUUGGUGCUUAUAAAAUUUUCUUAUGUAUUAAAAAAGGUAUGGAUGUGCAACAAAUUCAGCCACCACCUGCAGUUUUGACACUCAACCUCGUGACUUCAGAUGUGCAUAAGCAUCGAAAGUAGAAAUUAAUACAACUAGAGAAGAAGUGAUCAAAUCUUACCUGAACUAAGGAAGAAUACACUAAAAAGAUAAGUUUUGGAUUCUAAACGUAUUAUGUGGAUUGCCUUUUGGACAUAAAAGAAUGUCCAAUUCUGCUCCACGGUCAAUUCCAAAGUAACAGUAAGUAGAAAAUGGAAGAGAACCAAAAGUAGUUUGUUUUGUGCUUUUCCCUUUGGAUCGACUCCCUCCUUGUCACGACCCAAAACCUAUGUUUCGCGGACUCUCCAAAAUAGCGCCACACCCGUGUCGGAUCCUCCGAGAAUGCACUAUUUUUGAAGGAUCCGACAUCAUAGCCCAAAACCCCACCAAGUCAUGAUGACACCUAACCUAAUCCGCUAGGUAUACCAAACCAAGUCAUGAUGACACCUAACCUAAUCCGCUAGGUAUACCAAACAAUAUAAGUUACUACUACAACGAGAAAUCAUCAAUAUUAUAAGUAAAACCACAAAAGAAUUCACUACGACUACCCCAAGGAUUGGCAGUACAAGUCAUGAGCGAUUAUGAUUUGGAUUUACAAAACUGAUGUGAGAAAUAAAUACAAUAUCUGUUUGAAGUUUUUCAUGAACAAAAAUGAAAUUCUAAACUAUCAUGAGCAAAGGUAGCUUGAAUCCGAAUCGCUGGUACAUCUCCAAUACAAGGCUUCAUCCUCCACAACUGCUCAACUCCAAAAUCUACACGUAAGAUGCGGAAGUGUAGUAUGAAAAACUGACCCCAUGUACUCAGUAAGUAUCCUAACUAAUCUCCGUGAAGUAGUGAUGAGAUCUCAGGUCAAGGAUACUCACCAUAUAUAUAUAAAACUUGUACAACUCAAAACAUAUGUGUCUACCCACCAAUGGAAUCAGAGUCUUAAACAUGAAAUACAGGUACCACCAAACAGUGCACAUAAAGGAAAUGUGUGCCCGUCUCUUCACAAUUUAACAUAUAAAGAAGUUAUGCAUUUGAUAUAAGAUGACACAUCGACAAUUG
rnacentral:lncRNA from 1 species